GUAAGGUCUCCCAUAUCAGACAGGCUUUGCCUUAGGAGCCAGAUUAGAAGUGCCAAACAUCUACUGGGCAAUAACAGCAGUGUAGGGUCAAAUGCCAGACAAUUCCUCAGAGAACGGCAGUGGCAGGAAUUCCUGGAAAAGCACUUUCAAUCCACAUGAACCUCUCCAACCAGCAGAGAGAGGAGGAAGGAUGAAGGAAGCCAGAUAGAUUGGCCAAUAAAAAUUCUGAUUUCGUAAUGUUAUA